rnacentral:lncRNA from 1 species
GGAAGCGCGCGGCUGCGGCGCGGGAAGCAACCCAGAGCCCUCCUCCCGCCUGCUCUGUGUAGGAGACAGCCUGCGGAGCCCACUGCCGGCGCGCAGAGAGCCCAGCAGCUCUUGAGUCCAGGAAGCAAGGGUGGGAGGAGGGACGAGCCAGUGGCAAUGACCCAGACCCGGACGACCCCCAUUGCUGAGCCAGCGGAGCUGCUUGGAGGCAGAGGUUGCAGUGAGCUGAGAUUUUGCGACUACACUCCAACCUGGGCAACAGAGCGGGACUCCAUUCCAAAAAAAUAAGAAAAACAGAAAAAUAAUAAUUACAUCUGCAAAGACCUUAUUUCCAGGGUCCACGAGGCUGGUGUCAGACCUAUUGGGAGACCCUCUGCGUUAGUGAGAAAAACGGCAAGAAAUGGGAGCACGCGGAAACCUCCAAGACUAGAGCCACCAGAUGCCACCGACAGCACGCAGCUGGACCAGCACGGGGGAGGGCCUUCGUGGGUCGAGAGCUCGCUCGGGAGAUAGUUGGUGCUUUUCUUUCAGGAGAAGAAUCCCUGGCGGAGUCUGACCGUUCUCUGGCGCACAGCCCCGGGGGUGGGCACAGCAGCCGCCCCUGCUGAAGGGACUGACGCCUCCGACGACCAGCAGCCAAGUUAAACGCACUGUUCCGUGAGCAGCUUUGUUGGAGACAGCGCGGUUCACAUUCUCUUCCAACGGAGCCGCUGACUGCGGAGCUGGGAGGGGACGUGACAGAACCCAGCCAUCCAACGUCCCCCCACCCCUCCCCAGCUGGGACCUCCGGCUGCUUCCGGGCUGCGCUGGGUGGCGUCAAGGAGCCGCCCCUCUGGGCCGCGUCCCUCCCUCACGCCCUGCACACUGGCCCUGUGUGGCCGGCGGGGCGCCUAAAAGGGCGGAAGGAUGCAGGGGCGGAGGGGGCUCGGGAUUGCACGCCUAGCUCAGACCCCCCAGCCAGGACCCCUCGCGCUGUUGGACACGCCAGCCUCCCGACCCUGCGGCUCCUACGGGAGGUGACAAGGACCCUGCCAACCUGGCCUGAAUGGCCCAGUUUGAUACAGAUCAGGUUUUCAAUGAAUGAGACCGCGGUGUGGUCUAGGCGGAGGGAUGAGAGGAGGGGAUUCUGCUGGGAUAAGUGGGGGCGGGGUAAGGAGGGGAUUCUUUUCCUGGGCUGAGGAGAACGCAGGGACAAAGUACACAGGGGUAGUUGAGUGAGCAGGUGAGGCCCUAGGCUGGUUCCCCACCUUCUCAGGAUCGGAGCCACUCACUUCCUGGUACUCUCUGCAGUCUCCUGGCGUUAAAUAACAUCCCUUUGCUGGAGACUCUGGAUUCACAUCCAUAAUCGCAGCCUCCCCUACUCAUCCCCUCACGCUUCCCAUGAACUAACCUUGAAGGACCCGACCAGAGCCCUGACCUCCGUCCCACACACCUGCUACAUGGAAGGUGUUCUCCACAUCAGUUCAAGGCAGUGUCACUCUUCAGGAUGUUCAGGCUCUAAACCUUGGACUCCUCCUCCAGAUUUCUCUCUCCUUCCUUCUCCUUGUCUCUCCCUUGCACUUACGGUUCACUUUUCCUUCGUAGCUUUGUAGCUCAUUCCCCCUUCCACUUUCCACACCACCUUCUGGUCUGUUAAUUAAAUAUUACCUGGUUUCCACUGACACCUUCCCUGGGUUCCCAAUUGAAAAUCACAACAUCAUCCUCCUCCUCUGCUUUUUUUCUCCAAAUUAUAUCCUCACCCAAUUAUGUGUUAUUCUCAUUAAUCUUGCUUAAUUAAUUAGCAGACAUUAUUAAUGCCUGUUUCCCCUAUCACCACCACUAGACUAUGAACUCCUAAGGACUCCUUCCUUCCACCACUGUUGUACUCGCUUCACCUAGAACUGCUUGGCACAUACAAUGUGCUCCAUAAAUAUUUGUUGAAUGAAAGACUAGACACAACUUAGGAUUCACUCCCCCAUGUGGCAUCCAUAAGCCCUGUAUGCAGGUAAAAUGUCAGUGGGUUGACUAAAUACUGGAAGUGGAAAAAACUUCACCUCUUUGGUUUGCAGUUGUCUAGGAUAUUUAGGCCAAUGGAAAAUCCAGUUUUCCUUAGAAUUAAGCCAGUGCCGCCAGACUUGCCAGUUUACCAUGCUUGUCUGACUGGUCCUCAGCAUGGGUCAUACGUGUCCAAUGAAUUCAAACAAAAUCUUGAGAAGACACGAACCUUGCCCUUCGGCUGGGCGCGGUGGCUCACGCCUGUAAUCCCAGCACUUUGGGAGGCCGAGGCAGGCGGAUCACGAGGUCAGGAGAUCGAGACCAUCCUGGCUAACAUGGUGAAACCCCGUCUCUACUAAAAAUACAAAAAAUUAGCCGAGCGUGGUGGCGGGCGCCUGUAGUCCCAGCUACUCAGGAGGCUGAGGCAGGAGAAUGGCGUGAACCCGGGAGGCGGAGCUUGCAGUGAGUGAGCCGAGAUCGCACCCCUGCACUCCAGCCUGGGCGACAG